rnacentral:rRNA from 1 species
GAUGAACGCUGGCGGCGUGCCUAACACAUGCAAGUCGAACGGAACUUACCGAAUGAAGCUUUCGGGUGGAUUUUGAUAAGUUUAGUGGCGAACGGGUGAGUAACGCGUGAGUAACCUGCCCUGGAGUGGGGGACAACAGUUGGAAACGACUGCUAAUACCGCAUAAGCCCACAGCUCGGCAUCGAGCAGAGGGAAAAGGAGUGAUCCGCUUUGAGAUGGCCUCGCGUCCGAUUAGCUGGUUGGUGAGGUAACGGCCCACCAAGGCGACGAUCGGUAGCCGGACUGAGAGGUUGAACGGCCACAUUGGGACUGAGACACGGCCCAG